GGGCUACACACGUGCUACAAUGGCAUUUACAGAGGGAAGCGAGACAGUGAUGUGGAGCGGACCCCUUAAAGAAUGUCGUAGUCCGGAUUGGAGUCUGCAACUCGACUCCAUGAAGUCGGAAUCGCUAGUAAUCGCAGGUCAGAAUAAUGCGGUGAAUAGGUUGAUCGGGCCUCGUAC
rnacentral:rRNA from 1 species